AGGGGGCGCCGCGUUGGAACGCCCGAAGAGGUGCUGCUGGGGUGGUUGGAAGCCGGUGGGGGGCGGGUGUAUGGCGGCUAGGCCUGGAAGACCACGAGGACCGCUAGCGCCGUGGGGUCACUCUUCCUCAUGCCACAGGUUGCCGAGCCUCGGGGGAGAGGUGGGGUCCCAGGGGCCAACCCUUGGGUGUGUUGAUGGCGGCAGGCUAACCCAGCCAACGGGGUGCCACUGCCGGGCAAGGGAAGACCACAAAAGCAUCCAACCACAGUCUGCGCUGCAGCCCGGCAGAACUAAGUCUUGGGCGCCGCGACGCCUUUCCUACGGAAUAGGUCCUGGAAGGAAGACCAUUUAAGGACUGGCGAGGAGAGCACGCCUUCCCUUCCGAAGGUGCGUUACCAGAUUGCUGCCGUUUUUGUGCUGGGUCAUCAGAGCAGAUUCCCCUCCAGGUUACAGAUUAAACUUAACUCUACCCGUGCUGAAAAUGGCCGGAGCACGCCGCCUCGCCUCCCCUCCCCAAGGCUGCCGGAGCCGCCGGCCCCUGCCUCCUUUUCGACGACUGAUCGUCCAAGGACUGGCGCCGGAUCCAACACCUUUCCCCAGCUCUGCGCGUACCGCGCUCUUUGGAAACGAAUUGGUCCCUGUCUGCUUCCAAGGGUCCCUGGAACCUUCUGCAGCUGUGCCUCUCCAGAGCUCCGCCUCAUUAGUGCCACGUUCCUGGUUUGAAAACCAUAGUACUUCAACCUCUUCUAGAUGGGAGUUAACCUUUGCCCUCUGAAAGAAAGGUUUGAUAAGCAAAGAGAGUUUGGUGAGCAAGAUCCUUGAGGUAAGAGCUGAUCUCUGACGUCCGCUGGGAACUGGCUGCUCUGCAGGUUUCUGUAUCACAUUUUCUGCACAUGUCCAUUAGAAUUGGAGAUGGGGCGUAUCUAGUGUUGAAUAAAGGCCCGGCAGGCCCUCCCAGAUGCACCCUGUC
rnacentral:lncRNA from 1 species